UCCCUGGUGGUCUAGUGGUUAGGACUCAGUGCUUUCACUGCUGUGGCCCAGGUUCAAUCCUUGUUCUGAGAA
rnacentral:tRNA from 1 species